ACUGAACGCUGGCGGCAGGCCUAACACAUGCAAGUCGAGCGGAUGACGGGAGCUUGCUCCUCGAUUCAGCGGCGGACGGGUGAGUAAUACCUAGGAAUCUGCCUGAUAGUGGGGGACAACGUUUCGAAAGGAACGCUAAUACCGCAUACGUCCUACGGGAGAAAGCAGGGGACCUUCGGGCCUUGCGCUAUCAGAUGAGCCUAGGUCGGAUUAGCUAGUUGGUGAGGUAAUGGCUCACCAAGGCGACGAUCCGUGACUGGUCUGAGAGGAUGAUCAGUCACACUGGAACUGAGACACGGUCCAGACUCCUACGGGAGGCAGCAGUGGAGAAUAUUGGACAAUGGGCGAAAGCCUGAUCCAGCCAUGCCGCGUGUGUGAAGAAGGUCUUCGGAUUGUAAAGCACUUUAAGUUGGGAGGAAGGGCAGUAAGCUAAUACCUUGCUGUUUUGACGUUACCGACAGAAUAAGCACCGGCUAACUCUGUGCCAGCCGCCGCAGUAACAC
rnacentral:rRNA from 1 species